rnacentral:rRNA from 1 species
UAUGUGAUCGUCUCUCGCAUAUCAAUAAGCGGAGGAAAAGAAACUAACAAGGAUUCCCCUAGUAACGGCGAGUGAAGCGGGAAGAGCUCAAAUUUGAAAUCUUAAAGGGUUUCCCUUUACGAAUCGUAGUUUAAAGAAGUGUUUUCUGUUGAGGUUUUGGUAAAAGUUCUUUGGAAUAGGACAUCAUAGAGGGUGAGAAUCCCGUAUUUGACCUUUACUUUCAACUUUGUGAUACACUUUCAAAGAGUCGGAUUGUUUGGGAAUGCAGUCCAAAAUGGGUGGUAAAUUUCAUCUAAAGCUAAAUAUUGGCGAGAGACCGAUAGCGAACAAGUACCGUGAGGGAAAGAUGAAAAGAACUUUGAAAAGAGAGUUAAACAGUACGUGAAAUUGUCAAAAGGGAAGCGUUUGACACCAGUGUUGUUUUUCUGAAAAUCAAUUAAAGAACUGUUUAUGCUAAGUUGUUUAGACUUUAUCAGCUAUCUGUUUAGUUUUGAGCUUUUCUUUAAUGCACUUUUCAGUUAACAAGUCAACAUCAAUUUCUUUUGCUGUAAAAAAGCUUGAGGAAGGUGGCUUGAGAUUCGUCUUAAGUGUUUAUAGCCUCUUGCCUAUGCAGUCGGAGAGAUUGAGAUCUGCAGCGUAGAUCCUUCGGGGCUAAAUGCAUUUGUGCUAAGUUAUAGCAUUUUAUAGACAACUUGUUGACUAUGAUUUGUCUUGUAGCUUACUCGCUUAUGUUAUUUUACCUACGCUUAGGAUGUUGACUGAUAUGUAGUCGUA